CAGGUUAGAGCCAGGUGGUUAGGCGUCUUGUUUGGGUCAAGAAAUUGUUAUGUUCGAAUCAUAAUAACCUGA
rnacentral:tRNA from 4 species